rnacentral:rRNA from 1 species
GAUGAACGCUAGCGAUAGGCUUAACACAUGCAAGUCGAGGGGCAGCACAAGGUAGCUUGCUCUCUGGGUGGCGACCGGCGCACGGGUGCGUAACGCGUAUGCAACUUGCCCUAUACAGGAGGAUAACCCGUCGAAAGACGGACUAAUACUGCGUAUGCUCACAACUUGGCAUCAAGUGGUGAGGAAAGAAAUUCGGUAUAGGAUAGGCAUGCGUCCCAUUAGCUUGUUGGUGAGGUAACGGCUCACCAAGGCAACGAUGGGUAGGGGAACUGAGAGGUUUAUCCCCCACACUGGUACUGAGACACGGACCAGACUCCUACGGGAGGCAGCAGUGAGGAAUAUUGGGCAAUGGGCGCGAGCCUGAACCAGCCAAGUCGCGUGAAGGAUGACUGUCUUAUGGAUUGUAAACUUCUUUUAUACGGGAAUAACAAGAGUCACGGGUGACUCCCUGCAUGUACCGUAUGAAUAAGCAUCGGCUAACUCCGUG